GAUGAACGCUAGCUACAGGCUUAACACAUGCAAGUCGAGGGGUAACAAGAGGAAAGCUUGCUUUUCUUGUUGACGACCGGCGCACGGGUGAGUAACGCGUAUCCAACCUGCCUAUAACUAGGGAAUAACCUUGCGAAAGUAAGAAUAAUACCCUAUGAUUUCCUUUGAUGACAUCAAAUUAGGAAUAAAGAUUUAUCGGUUAUAGAUGGGGAUGCGUCUGAUUAGCUUGUUGGCGGGGUAACGGCCCAACAAGGCAACGAUCAGUAGGGGUUCUGAGAGGAGGGUCCCCCACAUUGGAACUGAGACACGGUCCAAACUCCUACGGGAGGCAGCAGUGAGGAAUAUUGGUCAAUGGGCGGAAGCCUGAACCAGCCAAGUAGCGUGCAGGAUGACGGCCCUAUGGGUUGUAAACUGCUUUUAUACAGGAAUAAAGUUAGCCACGUGUGGUUAUUUGUGGGUACUGUAUGAAUAAGGACCGGCUAAUUCCGUGCCAGCAGCCCGCAGUAA
rnacentral:rRNA from 1 species